UACAGAGGUCCCAAGCGUUGUUCGGAUUCAUUGGGCGUAAAGGGUGUGUAGGUGGCGCCGUAAGUCGGGUGUGAAAUCUCGGGGCUUAACUCCGAAACUGCAUUCGAUACUGCCGUGCUUGAGGACUGGAGAGGAGACUGGAAUUUACGGUGUAGCGGUGAAAUGCGUAGAUAUCGUAAGGAAGACCAGUGGCGAAGGCGGGUCUCUGGACAGUUCCUGACGCUGAGGCACGAAGGCCAGGGGAGCAAACAGG
rnacentral:rRNA from 1 species